CCUACGGGGUGCACCAGUGUGGAAUCUUGGACAAUGAGCGAAAGCCCGAUCCAGCAAUAUCGCGUGAGUGAAGAAAGGCAAUGCCGCUUGUAAAGCUCUUUCGUCGAGUGCGCGAUCAUGACAGGACUCGAGGAAGAAGCCCCGGCUAACUUCGUGCCAGCAGCCGCGGUAAUACGAAGGGGGCUAGCGUUGUUCGGAAUUACUGGGCGUAGAGCGCGCGUAGGCGGAUAGAUAAGUCAGAGGUGAAAUCCCGGGGCUCAACCCCGGAAUUGCCUUUGAUACUGUUUAUCUUGAGUGCAGAAGAGGUAAGUGGAAUUCCGAGUGUAGAGGUGAAAUUCGUAGAUAUUCGGAGGAACACCAGUGGCGAAGGCGGCUUACUGGUCUGCAACUGACGCUGAGGCGCGAAAGCGUGGGGAGCAAACAGGAUUAGAUACCCCCGUAGUC
rnacentral:rRNA from 1 species